rnacentral:lncRNA from 1 species
CAAUUUUUGUGUAUGCAUGUUUAUUUUUUCCUCAUUCUUUUUAAUUAUUGUGGUUUUUAUAGUACAGAGUCAGAUGUGCUCCCAGUUCUCUGCUCAAAGCCCAGUCUGUGAUGGACCUCAGGUACUCCAACCAGAGCCUGCUGGCAGUUCUGCUUCUGCAACUGUGAAGAGUCAGUCUGCCUCACUCCUUGGAAACAACCAGGAACAUUAUUCAUGGGAAAAUGAAUCUUCUCCAGAUCUUGCUUUAAGUUUUAUGUGAAAUUCCUAUUUUUCUGAAUUUUCUUAUCAAUAGAAAAUAAGUUUUGCUUGUUUUAUUUUGAUGAAAAUUGUUCCUCACAUCUGAAAUAUUUGCAUUGGUUAUGCAGGAGGUGAAGAGAUAGUGAUUUAUUUUAAAAUGUUUGAAUUUUUUAGGAAGGUAAUUAAAUAAAAUAUUAACUGAACAGUAAAACA